GAUGAACGCUGGCGGCGUGCCUAAUACAUGCAAGUCGAGCGAACGGACGAGAAGCUUGCUUCUCUGAUGUUAGCGGCGGACGGGUGAGUAACACGUGGAUAACCUACCUAUAAGACUGGGAUAACUUCGGGAAACCGUAGCUAAUACCGGAUAAUAUUUUGAACCGCAUGGCUCAAAAGUGAAAGACGGUCUUGCUGUCACUUAUAGAUGGAUCCGCGCUGCAUUAGCUAGUUGGUAAGGUAACGGCUUACCAAGGCAACGAUGCAUAGCCGACCUGAGAGGGUGAUCGGCCACACUGGAACUGAGACACGGUCCAGACUCCUACGGGAGGCAGCAGUAGGGAAUCUUCCGCAAUGGGCGAAAGCCUGACGGAGCAACGCCGCGUGAGUGAUGAAGGUCUUCGGAUCGUAAAACUCUGUUAUUAGGGAAGAACAUAUGUGUAAGUAACUGUGCACAUCUUGACGGUACCUAAUCAGAAAGCCACGGCUAACUACGUG
rnacentral:rRNA from 1 species